rnacentral:rRNA from 1 species
CGUGUAGCCGGGCCGACAAGUCAGAUGUGAAAUCCGCGGGCUUAACCCGCGAACUGCAUUUGAAACUGUUGGUCUUGAGUAUCGGAGAGGUCAUCGGAAUUCCUAGUGUAGCGGUGAAAUGCGUAGAUAUUAGGAAGAACACCAGUGGCGAAGGCGGAUGACUGGACGACAACUGACGGUGAGGCGCGAAAGCGUGGGGAGCAAACA